AGAGUUUGAUCCUGGCUCAGAAUGAACGUUGGCGGCGUGGAUUAGGCAUGCAAGUCGCACGGGCCGCAAGGCCAGUGGCGCAAGGGUGAGUAAGGCGACGGUAACCAACCCCACGGGUGGGUAUAGCCGCGGGAAACUGCGGGUAAUCCCCAGCGACGUCAUCGGGAGGCAUCUCCUGAUGACCAAAGUUCCGGCGCCGU
rnacentral:rRNA from 1 species